UACGUAGGGUGCAAGCGUUGUCCGGAAUUAUUGGGCGUAAAGAGCUCGUAGGCGGUUUGUUGCGUCGGCUGUGAAAUCCCGAGGCUCAACCUCGGGUCUGCAGUCGAUACGAGCAAACUAGAGUGUUGCAGGGGAGACUGGAAUUCCUGGUGUAGCGGUGAAAUGCGCAGAUAUCGGGAGGAACACCCGUAGCGAAGGCGGCACUCUGGGCCGGUACUGACGCUGAGGAGCGAAAGCGUGGGGAGCAAACAGG
rnacentral:rRNA from 1 species